CACACGAAAGAAAGGCGACAAAAUCCAAACUAUUUUUUUUUAUUAUAAUUCCAAAUCGUGUCCGAAAUGAAAAUUGUGUUUGCAGUGAGUGUGUCAAACUAAUUUGGCAAAAUAAUAAAUGAAUUGGUAGGGGCAGCAACCACCACGCCACGCCACUGGCUAUCAUAAUUAAUUUUGAUUUAUAACAAAAUUAUUUGAUCACAAUGACGACAUUAUUUUACACACACUAUCAUCAUACCUCACACACAUCAAUAAAAUAAAUUUAGAUAAUUCAACUGAAAUCAGCGGUUAGAUGUGUGUGUACUAUUUCAAAAAUUUAAUUUUAGUAUCAACAACGCGUAUUUUUACGCUUUUCUCGCGAGAGAACAGGAAAAUAUAACAAAUAAAAAUUGCAUUGUUUAAAGCACUAAAAAUUUAUGACAGAUUAAAAAUAUAUAAUACAUAUUUAGCAAGCGUUUUCGAAGACGUGAAAAUAUAAAACCUAUUUAGUGACACGCACACAACGAAAAGAUAAACGCAAAUGAAAAUUAUCAACCAAAAUUAUUUCUAUGAUCUACAAUUCUAUCUUUCAUUAAAACCAUAAGAAAGAAUGGCAAAGUAUUUUUUUUCUAUGGUUAUUACUGGAUGGUUUAUCUUAAAAAUAUAAUACCUUUUUAGUAUAUUAAACGUAAUAUUAUGAUUAUUCAUACUGCGAAAACAACCCUUUUUACAGUGUAUCAUUUCCAAAUAAUAUAACCACAAAUAAAUCACUACACGCGAUUUGUCUUCUCGUUAGAAUAUUGUUUGUUUUACCAUAAUUGUAGAUGUACAAACUUUUUCUUAUAAACUUUUUUCUUUUAAAAUGCUGCCUUUUAAUUUUCAAUUACUACUGUCAGCUCACUUUCCCUAUAAUGGGAUGAUAAUUAAUCGUCCCUAUAAUAAUAUUAUAAUUGUAUAUCUUAUUCAAAUUAUCUUAAUCAUUGACGAAAUACUUUUAUAACACUUGACGUUGAUUCAGUUCUUUUUUUUCAAAUAAAUUCAUUAAUUAAAUGGUUUUAUUUUACUUGCUUAUAAGAACACAAUUAUUUUGGAUUUUUAUAUCAGUAAAGAUAUAUAAAAAGUGUGUGUGUGUGUGUGUGUGUGUGUGUGUGCAAUUCACACACGGAAGAAGUGAAACUUCUGGAAAAGUCGUAGGAAGAUAAGUCAUUGCUAUAUGUUCUAUCAACUAUGAUCACGGUCUCGUGGAAAAAGAUCGUAAGCGCCAUACAAACCGCGCCUCUGACGCGUUCUGAUUGGUAAUGUAUUCAAUCUCGUUAUCUCAUAUACAUUUAUGCUUUUGUUUCUUUAUCGAGUUUCAAAUCACAACGAUCCUAAGGAAAUUUCACUUCAAGAAAAAAAACUUUUUUCCCAUUUCAGGUGUUUACGCGUAAUUCCAAAAUCCACAUCAUAAUUAUUAUUUUAUUAAUAAUGAACCAUUCUAUUUUAAUACUAGCUGACCCGGCAAACGUUGUCUUGCCGCUAAACGCUAUUUAAAAAUAGGG
rnacentral:misc_RNA from 1 species